rnacentral:rRNA from 1 species
GACGAACCGUGCGAACGUUGUUCGGAAUCACUGGGCUUAAAGGGCGCGUAGGCGGGUUGCCAAGUCCGGGGGUGAAAGCCCCCAGCUCAACUGGGGAAGGGUCUUGGAUACUGGUGAUCUCGAGGGAGGUAGGGGCAUGCGGAACUUCCGGUGGAGCGGUGAAAUGCGUAGAUAUCGGAAGGAACGCCGGUGGCGAAAGCGGCGUGCUGGACCUCUUCUGAC